AUUGAACGCUGGCGGCAGGCCUAACACAUGCAAGUCGAACGAGUGGCGGACGGGUGAGUCAUGUCUGGGAAACUGCCCGAUGGAGGGGGAUAACUACUGGAAACGGUCGCUAAUACCGCAUACCAUCGGAUGUGCCCAGAUGGGUUUAGUUAGUAGGGGGGGUAACGGCUCACCUAGGCGACGCUCCCUAGCUGGUCUGAGAGGAUGACCAGCCACACUGGAACUGAGACACGGUCCAGACUCCUACGGGAGGCAGAAGGGGGGAAUAUUGCACAAUGGGCGCAAGCCUGAUGCAGCCAGGCCGCGUGUAUGAAGAAGGCCUUAGGGUUGUAAAGUACGUUCAGCGAGGAGGCGUUACUCGCAGAAGAAGCACCGGCUAACUCCGUGCCAGCAGCCGCGGUAAUUC
rnacentral:rRNA from 1 species